GACGAACGCUGGCGGCGUGCUUAACACAUGCAAGUCGAACGGUGAAGCGCCUUCCUUUUUGGUGGGUGUGGAUGAGUGGCGAACGGGUGAGUAACACGUGAGUAACCUGCCCCCUUCUUCUGGAUAACCGCAUGAAAGUGUGGCUAAUACGGGAUAUUCUGGGUCUGUCGCAUGAUGGGUCUGGGAAAGAUAUUGUUUCGGUGGGGGAUGGGCUCGCGGCCUAUCAGCUUGUUGGUGGGGUGAUGGCCUACCAAGGCGGUGACGGGUAGCCGGCCUGAGAGGGUGGACGGUCACACUGGGACUGAGACACGGCCCAGACUCCUACGGGAGGCAGCAGGGGGGAAUAUUGCACAGUGGGCGCAAGCCUGAUGCAGCGACGCCGCGGGAGGGAUGGAGGCCUUCGGGUUGUGAACCUCUUUCGCCAGUGAAGCAGGCCUGCCUCGUUUGUGGGUGGGUUGACGGUAGCUGGAUAAGAAGCGCCGGCUAACUACGUG
rnacentral:rRNA from 1 species